GCAGGUGAGGAGGGCAGGUGAGCAGGGCAGGUGAGCAGGGCAGGUGAGGAGGGCAGGGGGGUGAGCAGGGCAGGCAACGAAGGCAGGUGAGGAGGACAGGUGAGCAGGGCAGGUAAGGAGAGCAGGUAAGCAGGGCAGGUGAGCAGGGCAGGUGAGGAUGGUAGGUGGGCAGGGCAGGUGAGCAGGACAGGUGAGCAGGGCAGGCAAGGAGGGCAGGUGAGCAGGACAAAGGUAUCAAUAACAAGUGUUAGAGAUGUAAUCAAAGUGAGGAGUCAGAACAGUGAAGUACUGUUGGGAGCCG
rnacentral:lncRNA from 1 species